rnacentral:tRNA from 1 species
GCGGCUGUAGCUCAGCUGGUUAGAGCAUCGGGUUGUGGUUCCGAGGGCCGCGGGUUCGAAUCCCGUCAGCCGCCCCA